rnacentral:rRNA from 1 species
CCGCUAUUGGAGUUCGAUUAAGCCAUGCGAGUCGCGAGAAAUUAGAUUCUCGGCGUACCGCUCAGUAACACGUGGGUAACCUGCCCUAUGCUGGAUAAUAACCUCGGGAAACUGAGUAUAAUGAUCCAUAGUUCACUACGCCUGGAACGGUGAGUGGAUGAAAGCUCCGGCGGCAUAGGAUGGGCCUGCGGCGUAUCAGGUUGUGGGGGGUGUAACGUACCCUCUAGCCCUCUACGCGUACGGGUGUUGGGAGACAUAGCCCGGAGAUGGAUUCUGAGACACGACUCCAGACCCUACGGGGUGCAGCAGGCGCGAAAACUUGGCAAUGCGAGAAAUCGUGACCAGGGAACUCCAAGUGCAUCGGGUAAGACCGGUGCUUUUCUUGACUCUAAAUAGGUCUUGGAAUAAGGGGUGGGUAAGGACGGUGCCAGCCGCCGCGGUAAUACCGGCGCCUCAAGUGGUAGUCGCUUUUAUUGGGCCUAAAACGUCCGUAGCCGGUCUGAUACAUUCGUGGGUAAAUCAACCAGCUCAACUGGUUGAAUUCUGCGAGGACGGUCAGACUUGGGACCGGGAGAGGUGUGGGGUACGCUCAGGGUAGGGGUAAAAUCCUGUCAUCCUGAGCGGACCACCUGUUGCGAAGGCGCCACACUAGAACGGAUCCGACGGUCAGGGACGAAGCCUAGGGGCACGAACCGGAUUAGAUACCCGGGUAGUCCUAGGUGUAAACGCUGUGGACUUGAUGUUGGGGGUGCUCCGAGCACUCUCAGUGUCGAAGCGAAGGUGAUAAGUCCACUGCCUGGGAAGUACGGUCGCAAGGCUGAAACUUAAAGGAAUUGGCGGGGGAGCACCGCAACCUGAGGAUUGUGCGG